AUUGAACGCUGGCGGCAGGCCUAACACAUGCAAGUCGAACGGUAACAGGAAGAAGCUUGCUUCUUUGCUGACGAGUGGCGGACGGGUGAGUAAUGUCUGGGAAACUGCCUGAUGGAGGGGGAUAACUACUGGAAACGGUAGCUAAUACCGCAUAACGUCGCAAGACCAAAGAGGGGGACCUUCGGGCCUCUUGCCAUCGGAUGUGCCCAGAUGGGAUUAGCUAGUAGGUGGGGUAACGGCUCACCUAGGCGACGAUCCCUAGCUGGUCUGAGAGGAUGACCAGCCACACUGGAACUGAGACACGGUCCAGACUCCUACGGGAGGCAGCAGUGGGGAAUAUUGCACAAUGGGCGCAGGCCUGAUGCAGCCAUGCCGCGUGUAUGAAGAAGGCCUUCGGGUUGUAAAGUACUUUCAGCGGGGAGGAAGGGAGUAAAGUUAAUACCUUUGCUCAUUGACGUUACCCGCAGAAGAAGCACCAGCUAACUCCGUG
rnacentral:rRNA from 1 species